rnacentral:rRNA from 1 species
UACGUAGGGGGCAAGCGUUGUCCGGAAUCAUUGGGCGUAAAGAGCGCGUAGGCGGCCCAGUAAGUCCGCUCUGAAAGUCAGGGGCUCAACCCCUGGAUGCGGGUGGAUACUGCUGGGCUAGAGUCCGGAAGAGGUGAGUGGAAUUCCUGGUGUAGCGGUGAAAUGCGCAGAUAUCGGGAGGAACACCUAUUGCGAAGGCAGCUCGCUGGGACGUUACUGACGCUGAGACGCGAAAGCGUGGGGAGCAAACAGG